ACGAACGCUGGCGGCGUGCUUAACACAUGCAAGUCGAACGAGGCAGCAAUGCCGAGUGGCGGACGGGUGAGUAACACGUGGGUAACCUGCCUUGUAGUGGGGGAUACCCACCCGAAAGGGUGGCUAAUACCGCAUACGCUCUGUAGUUGAAAUACUGCAGAGGAAAGAUUUAUCGCUACUAGAGGGGUCCGCGUCCGAUUAGCUAGUUGGUGAGGUAACGGCUCACCAAGGCGACGAUCGGUAGCUGGUCUGAGAGGACGAUCAGCCACACUGGAACUGAGACACGGUCCAGACUCCUACGGGAGGCAGCAGUGGGGAAUUUUCCGCAAUGGGCGAAAGCCUGACGGAGCAACGCCGCGUGGAUGAUGAAGUCUUUCGGGACGUAAAAUCCUUUCAGCAGGGACGAAGUAAGUGACGGUACCUGCAGAAGAAGCAUCGGCUAACUACGU
rnacentral:rRNA from 1 species